GAUGAACGCUAGCGACAGGCUUAACACAUGCAAGUCGAGGGGCAGCGGGGGCGAAAGCUUGCUUUCGCCUGCCGGCGACCGGCGCACGGGUGAGUAACACGUAUGGAACCUGCCCUAUGCAGGGGGAUAAGCGGAAGAAAUUCCGUCUAAUACCGCAUAACACCAUUUGGAGACAUCUCCAGGGGGUCAAAGGAGGCGACUCCGGCAUAGGAUGGCCAUGCGUCGCAUUAGCUAGUCGGCGGGGUAACGGCCCACCGAGGCGACGAUGCGUAGGGGUUCUGAGAGGAAGGUCCCCCACACUGGUACUGAGACACGGACCAG
rnacentral:rRNA from 1 species